UACGGAGGGUGCAAGCGUUAAUCGGAAUUACUGGGCGUAAAGGGUGCGUAGGUGGUUUGUUAAGUUAUCUGUGAAAUCCCUGGGCUCAACCUGGGCAGGUCAGAUAAGACUGAUGAACUCGAGUAUAGGAGAGGGUAGUGGAAUUUCCGGUGUAGCGGUGAAAUGCGUAGAGAUCGGAAGGAACACCAGUGGCGAAGGCGGCUACCUGGCCUAAUACUGACACUGAGGCACGAAAGCGUGGGGAGCAAACAGG
rnacentral:rRNA from 1 species